UGCCAAAGGUGAAUCACAGUAUUGAACGAAGACUGACAGGACUGGAAUAUUACAAGAACUGAUGAGUAGUUCAUGUGAUUAUUCAGUGUAGGGAAUACGCUCAUUUAUAGUGUUCUUGAUAAUAAUUUUUGUCUUGGUGUUGAAUAUAAAAAGGGAACGUGAUGAUGGGAGUAAUACUUCAUCCAGCCCAUAGAUGGCUGUAUGGUACUGUGUAUGGUGCUGUUCUAUAUGGUCCUAUAUAUAAAGUUGUGUGUAUAAUUAACUAUCAUAGUACAGUUAAUGUUAAUGACCCUGUUUCUUCAUUGCGUAUAAGAAACACCACACUGGACUGUUGUAAUUUGGCCAAUCUAAUACUGAUUAUAGAUGCUGUCCAAUUAACCUGAGUGUUAUAAAUAGAGCCACUGCUAAAAAUUCUGAAGGUUCUACCAUGAUAUAAUUUAUAUUUACAGUAGUGAUGCUGAUGCUGGAGUGAAUUUCAUGGAUGAUAAUGCAUGCAACACUGCAAGGCUGCAUGUGAUAUUUUUCAGGUAUAAUAUAAAAAAGUAUGUUACUGUUUACAGACGUGAUUUUAUUGGUGAGACUCAGUGAUGAGGAUAAUAAAGUUGUGAAGGAAUGGGCGUGUUCAGGCCAUUGAGAGGAGGGCUGGGGACGACUGUGCUGCACAGCUGCAUAACUUUCUGCGGACACCCUGGAGCAGCAUCAACAAAGCAGAAUGGAAGAGGAGAAAGAUGAGGGGUUUGGAGAAAUCAAUGGCAGCAUUCCAGAGGAGGGUCCAACAGCACCAUCUUUGGGACGGCUGGAUCCUACUGCCCUCCUCCAGUGGACUACAUCCCUCAUCCUGAGAAUACUGUGGUCCCCAACAUCAAGUACCCCACAUAUCCACGCCAUGUUACCUCUUCAUUGCAGGGUGCCAGCGGUGUCAGAGGACGUGGCACGGGAGGCUUUGCUACAGUUUGUUGGGAAAAAGUGGAUGUACAGCAGAAAACCUGCUAAAAACCUGGUGUUUAAAGAUCUUAAGCCUUUCACAGUGUAUCGGGUAAAUGCAAACACACCUCCGACAAAAGUCUAAUAAUGUUUGUCAGAUCACCUGGUUUUAUUGAAGGUUGGGCGUGGCUGAAGGACCAACAGAGAUCCCUCAGCUUCACCCAAUAUUCCAUGACAAUAAGAGCUUCAUUAGGUUUCAGCAGUAUAAUUCAUUUUUUUAUAUUUCCUCAUUUAUCCUCAUUUCCUGCCCUUAUAA
rnacentral:lncRNA from 1 species